CAGUCGCCGCGGGAAUACAGAGGGUGCGAGCGUUAAUCGAAUUUACUGGGCGUAAAGCGUGCGUAGGCGGCUUUUUAAGUCGGAUGUGAAAUCCCUGAGCUUAACUUAGGAAUUGCAUUCGAUACUGGGAAGCUAGAGUAUGGGAGAGGAUGGUAGAAUUCCAGGUGUAGCGGUGAAAUGCGUAGAGAUCUGGAGGAAUACCGGUGGCGAAGGCGGCCCCCUGGACAAAGACUGACGCUCAGGUGCGAAAGCGUGGGGAGCAAACAGGAUUAGAUACCCCGGUAGUCCCUGUCUCUUAUAC
rnacentral:rRNA from 1 species